rnacentral:rRNA from 1 species
UCUUGCAAACUAAAGAUGGCGACCGGCGCACGGGUGAGUAACACGUAUCCAACCUGCCGAUAACUCGGGGAUAGCCUUUCGAAAGAAAGAUUAAUAUCCGAUAGUAUAUUAAAACCGCAUGGUUUUACUAUUAAAGAAUUUCGGUUAUCGAUGGGGAUGCGUUCCAUUAGUUUGUUGCGGGUAACGGCCACCAAGACUACGAUGGAUAGGGGUUCUGAGAGGAAGGUCCCCCACAUUGGAACUGAGACACGGUCCAA